GAUGAACGCUGGCGGCGUGCCUAAUACAUGCAAGUCGAGCGAUCAGACGAUGAGCUUGCUCCUCUUUCGUUUGCGGCUGACGGGUGAGUAACACUUGUAUAACCUUCCUAUCUUACUUGUUUAACUUCGUUAAACCUUAGCUAAUACCGUUUAAUCUUUUUAACCGCAUGGUUCUUUAUUGUUAGACGUUUUUGCUGUCUCUUUUAGAUUGAUCCGCGCCGCAGUAGCUAGUUGGUAAGGUAACGCCUUACCAAGGCAACGAUGCGUAGCCGACCUGACCGGGUGAUCGGCCACACUGGAACAGAGACACGGACAAGACUACUACGGGAGGCAGCAGUAGGGAAUCUUCCGCAAUGGGCGAAAGCAUGACGGAAGAAAGACGCGUGAGAGAUGAAGGUAUAAGGAUCGUAAAAAAAUGUUAUUAGGGAAGAAAAAAAGGGUAAGUAAAUAUGGAGGUGAUGACGGUAAAAAAGCAGAAAGCAACGGCUAAAUACGUG
rnacentral:rRNA from 1 species